AAAGGUGUACCUACUGUAACAUGAACUAAGGUGAGGGGUAAAAGGUGUACCUACUGUAACAUGAUCUAUGGUGAGGGGGUAAAAGGUGUACCUACUGUAACAUGAACUAAGGUGAGGGGGUAAAAGGUGUACCUACUGUAACAUGAACUAAGGUGAGGAGGUAAAAGGUGUACCUACUGUAACAUGAACUAAGGUGAGGGGGUAAAAGGUGUACCUACUGUAACAUGAACUAAGGUGAGGAGGUAAAAGGUGUACCUACUGUAACAUGAACUAAGGUGAGGGGGUAAAAGGUGUACCUACUGUAACAUGAACUAAGGUGAGGAGGUAAAAGGUGUACCUACUGUAACAUGAACUAAGGUGAGGGGGUAAAAGGUGUACCUACUGUAACAUGAACUAAGGUGAGGGGUAAAAGGUGUACCUACUGUAACAUGAACUAAGGUGAGGGGUAAAAGGUGUACCUACUGUAACAUGAACUAAGGUGAGGGGUAAAAGGUGUACCUACUGUAACAUGAACUAAGGUGAGGGGGUAAAAGAUGUACCUACUGUAACAUGAACUAAGGUGAGGGGUAAAAGGAGUACCUACUGUAACAUGAACUACGGUGAGGGUCUUAGCCAUCUGUUACAGGAUG